rnacentral:lncRNA from 1 species
UGGUUUAUAACCCCUGAGUCUGGGGGUAAUGGCACGGGGACCCACCAGCUUGUCUGCCGCCAUCUGGGGUACAGUGCUGGAAGCGGGGAUACAGGGACAAAUAAGACACAGAUCCUGUUCCUAAAGAGUUUUUUGAGAUGAAGUCUCGUUCUUGUCCCCCAGGCUGGAGUGCAAUGGCAUGAUCUCAGCUCACUGCAACCUCUGCCUCCCGGGUUCAAGCAAUUCUCCUGUCUCAGCCUCCUGAGUAGCUGGAUUACAGAGAAACACAGAGGAGAGACCCAGAGAGAAGGAGAAGGCCGCAUGAAGAUGGAGCAGAGACUGGAGUUAUUCAGCCAAGUCAAGGAAUGCCUGGAGCACCAGAAGCCGGAAGAGGCAAGGAAGGAUCCUCCCUUAGAGCAUUUGGAAGAGUGUGGCCCUGCCAACACCUUGACUUCAAACUUCUGGCCUCCAUAACUAUGAAAUAAAUUCUUGUUGUUUUAAGCCACCAA